rnacentral:rRNA from 1 species
UACGUAGGUGGCGAGCGUUGUCCGGAUUUAUUGGGCGUAAAGCGCGCGCAGGUGGUGCGGUAAGUCUGUCGUGAAAUCUCCUGGCUCAACUGGGAGGGUGCGGUGGAGACUGCCGGACUGGAGGCACUCAGAGGCCGGUGGAAUUCCCGGUGUAGUGGUGAAAUGCGUAGAGAUCGGGAGGAACACCAAUGGCGAAGGCAGCUCGCUGGGACGUGACUGACGCUGAGACGCGAAAGCGUGGGGAGCAAACAGG